rnacentral:rRNA from 1 species
AAAGAUGGCUUCGGCUAUCACUUUUGGAUGGUCCCGCGGCGUAUUAGCUAGAUGGUGGGGUAACGGCUCACCAUGGCAAUGAUACGUAGCCGACCUGAGAGGGUAAUCGGCCACAUUGGGACUGAGACACGGCCCAAACUCCUACGGGAGGCAGCAGUAGGGAAUCUUCCACAAUGGACGAAAGUCUGAUGGAGCAACGCCGCGUGAGUGAAGAAGGGUUUCGGCUCGUAAAACUCUGUUGUUAAAGAAGAACAUAUCUGAGAGUAACUGUUCAGGUAUUGACGGUAUUUAACCAGAAAGCCACGGCUAACUACGUGCCAGCAGCCGCGGUAAUACGUAGGUGGCAAGCGUUGUCCGGAUUUAUUGGGCGUAAAGCGAGCGCAGGCGGUUUUUUAAGUCUGAUGUGAAAGCCUUCGGCUCAACCGAAGAAGUGCAUCGGAAACUGGGAAACUUGAGUGCAGAAGAGGACAGUGGAACUCCAUGUGUAGCGGUGAAAUGCGUAGAUAUAUGGAAGAACACCAGUGGCGAAGGCGGCUGUCUGGUCUGUAACUGACGCUGAGGCUCGAAAGUAUGGGUAGCAAACAGGAUUAGAUACCCUGGUAGUCCAUACCGUAAACGAUGAAUGCUAAGUGUUGGAGGGUUUCCGCCCUUCAGUGCUGCAGCUAACGCAUUAAGCAUUCCGCCUGGGGAGUACGGCCGCAAGGCUGAAACUCAAAGGAAUUGACGGGGGCCCGCACAAGCGGUGGAGCAUGUGGUUUAAUUCGAAGCUACGCGAAGAACCUUACCAGGUCUUGACAUACUAUGCAAAUCUAAGAGAUUAGACGUUCCCUUCGGGGACAUGGAUACAGGUGGUGCAUGGUUGUCGUCAGCUCGUGUCGUGAGAUGUUGGGUUAAGUCCCGCAACGAGCGCAACCCUUAUUAUCAGUUGCCAGCAUUAAGUUGGGCACUCUGGUGAGACUGCCGGUGACAAACCGGAGGAAGGUGGGGAUGACGUCAAAUCAUCAUGCCCCUUAUGACCUGGGCUACACACGUGCUACAAUGGAUGGUACAACGAGUUGCGAACUCGCGAGAGUAAGCUAAUCUCUUAAAGCCAUUCUCAGUUCGGAUUGUAGGCUGCAACUCGCCUACAUGAAGUCGGAAUCGCUAGUAAUCGCGGAUCAGCAUGCCGCGGUGAAUACGUUCCCGGGCCUUGUACACACCGCCCGUCACACCAUGAGAGUUUGUAACACCCAAAGUCGGUGGGGUAACCUUUUAGGAACCAGCCGCCUAAGGUGGGACAGAUGAUUAGGGUGAAGUCGUAACAAGGUAGCCGUAGGAGAACCUGCGGCUGGAUCACCUCCUUUCUAAGGAA